rnacentral:rRNA from 1 species
GACGAACGCUGGCGGCGUGCCUAACACACGCAAGUCGAGCGGGGAUUUAAGUGGAAGUUCUUCGGAAUGGAGAUUUAAAUUCUAGCGGCGGACGGGUGAGUAACGCGUGAACAAUCUGUCCCGGACAGGGGGAUAACACUUGGAAACAGGUGCUAAUACCGCAUAAGACCACGGCCUCGCAUGGGGCUGAGGUAAAAGGAGCAAUCCGGUUCGGGGUGAGUUCGCGUCCGAUUAGCUAGUUGGUGAGGUAACGGCCCACCAAGGCGACGAUCGGUAGCCGGCCUGAGAGGGUGAACGGCCAAAUUGGAACUGAGAGACGGUCCAAACUCCUACGGGAGGCAGCAGUGGGGAAUAUUGGGGAAUGGGCGAAAGCCUGACCCAGCAACGCCGCGUGAGGGAAGAAGGUUUUCGGAUUGUAAACCUCUGUCCUAUGGGACGAAGGAAGUGACGGUACCAUAGGAGGAAGCCCCGGCUAACUACGUG